GCUGAGGAUCGAACCCGGGCCGCACGCAUGCCAGGCGAGCGCGCUACUGCUUGAGCCACAUCACCAGCCCAGGGAAAUCAUGGUUUUUAAGAAAGUUUUUUCUGAUCCUCCAAAGAUGGGACAUCAUAGUCUAAGAAAAGAGUACUUCCUAACUCACUUCCUAGUGAUGCUCAUGAAUGAUCAUCUUUUCUUAUAAUCAUAUCAAAGUACUUAUGAUUAUGACACAAUUUCAUUUGAUUUGUUUUUACUUUUUUUGGUGGGGGAGGUGUACUGGGGAUUGAACUCAAGGACACUCAACCACUAAGCCACAUCCCCAGCCCUAUUUUGUAUUUUAUUUAGAGACAGGGUCUCACUGAGUUGCUCAGAGCCUCACCGUUGCUGAGGCUGGCUUUGACUCACUGUCCUCCUGCUGCAGCCUCUGAGCUGCUGGUAUUACAGGUGAGUGUCACUGCACCCAGAUAGCAUAGGGGUUUUUGCCUUUGAGAGGGACACAUCAGAAGGCAAAAGUAUGUGUGACAUCAUGAAGGGUAAGGUCCUGAAAAUAGCCUGUGUUCUCAAAGAUGAGCAACUUGCAAAGUUGACUCUGCAGCCAGAGGGAAAUGUCCAGAGGGAACAGGCAAAAUGAUGGCAGAUGACUGCAUACAACCAGGUUUAUAAACCCUUCCAAGGGGCUCAGAGAAAAGGUUGAUGGCCAGCCACUGCUAGAAGUUAGAUGGUGUCUGGGAGAAGGCACAAGACAGAGCGGGAGGUCCUGAGAGCUAGAAACCAGUGAAACUGGAGUUGUUUUUGAGACAACCGCUUCAAAGGUUGUGCUCAUUGUACGCUAGGCUCUUACACUCCAGAGUAAAAAAUCAGGUCAAGGAAGUGUCCUUUUCCUUUUCUCUUUCCCUCCCCUACCUCUUUCAUGAUUUGGUCAUGAGUCAGGGUUCAGGACUUUUGAAGAGGAUCCAUGUAAUCAGGUAACCAAUCAAGGAUGUGUCAGAUGACAUCAACCAAUGUUCUUACUGAUCUUUUAUUUUUCACUGCCACACAGAAGGAACAAAUGUCAACUAAAUGGUCUCCUUUUGACUUCAUCUCAAUCUCUUUGAUUUCAUUUCAACUCUCCGAAAAUCAGUGAUUUUAUAAUCAGUGUUUUUUUCUAUUGUUUAAGGGUACUUUAUUUCUUGCUUAGCAAACGGUGUCCACAAAAUUGACGGGUUACUUGAAUUCUGGAAGUGGAAUUUCAACAGUGCAAACUCAAAUAAUACUAAAACAUCCUAAUUCUAAAUAAAUGGUUAAAUUGUUGUGAGUUCCUCAAAUAAGAUAGUAAUAUUUUUUUCAGGAUUUUGGUUUUUGGCCCUGAUCAACUAAAAGUGACUUAAUUUGACUGUGAGUAAAAAUAAUACCAAGAUUGGGGCUGUGGCUCAGCAGUAGAGCACUCACCUAGCAUGUGUGAGGCCCUGGGUUCAAUCUUCAGCACCAUGUAAAAAUAAAUAAAUAAAAUAAAGAUAUUGUGUCCAACAGAACUAAAAAAUAAAUAUAGAAAAAUACAAUGCAGG
rnacentral:lncRNA from 1 species